rnacentral:rRNA from 1 species
UACAGAGGGUGCAAGCGUUAAUCGGAGUUACUGGGCGUAAAGGGCGCGUAGGCGGUUAGAUAAGUGAGAUGUGAAAUCCCAGGGCUCAACUCUGGACAGGCGGUGGAAACUACCAAGCUGGAGUACGGUAGGGGCAGAGGGAAUUUCCGGUGGAGCGGUGAAAUGCGUAGAGAUCGGAAAGGACACCAACGGCGAAAGCACUCUGCUGGGCCGACACUGACACUGAGAGACGAAAGCUAGGGGAGCGAAUGGG